UCCAGGAUCAGAACAAGGAAUGAAUGGGUGACUGAGUGGGUUACGAAGUGUGAGAGUGAAGACGGCGCAUUGCACAGGGGGUGCAGUAGGCUUUCAGUGGACCUGUGAAGUCAGUGAGUCUCGCAGUCAGAGGUGUGGCUGUGGAGGAGAGCGGGAGGGGAGAGAGGAAGCGGGGCCGAAGGAAUCGCUCUCCCGGUGCAGCCUCCGUCAGAGCCCUGAAAGGGGCUGAGUGGGCUGUGACUCAGCUCUCUGACUCACGCACUGUGCUGCGGCUCCGUCCUCUGGGCCAUUGAGCUCAGCCGGGCAUGGAGGAGGGUGAGAUGGGGCCAGCUGCUCCAGAUGACUCACUUGUCUGAGCUGGAAGGAAGGGACCAAAGGCCCCCGCUGCUCGCCCCAUCACCCCCCUGCCUCCGUCCCCAGGGCUUCCCAUGCAAAGUCCGACCUCAGGGGUAGAUUCUGGGUGCUCCCUUAAUCAUUUCCCACUGCUGCUCAAACUGCCAUUUCCCUGGUUCCUCACAUGCUCGUCUGUAGAGCUGCCAGCAGGCACCUGAGGUUCUAGAGUCUGAUUCUCACCUGCACUUUGGUUUGGAGAAACUUGUUUUGGUUUCCAAGCAACAAUUUGUGCAAGUCCAGGACUGUCUGCGUGGAGAGGGCGCCCUGUGAGUUCUCUGAAAAAGGAGGAUUUACGCACAGGUGUAGACAAUGCAGAAACUGAGACACAGGGGUUGAAGUAAUUUGCACAAAAACAUAGACACAGUCAACAAAAUGAAACACAGACCCAGUGGAAAGUGGCUUCAAGGACUGAGAAUCUGCAUGGCCACGGCAACUUGCCACUGAUGAUUCUAGAGGAAUGGAGAGUCAGCCUUUCUUCUUUGCAAGCCAGG